UACGGAGGGUGCAAGCGUUGUCCGGAUUUAUUGGGUUUAAAGGGUGCGUAGGUGGCCCGUUAAGUCCGGGGUGAAAGCCCACUGCUCAACAGUGGAACUGCCCUGGAUACUGGCGGGCUUGAGUCCAGACGAGGUUGGCGGAAUGGAUGGUGUAGCGGUGAAGUGCAUAGAUACCAUCCAGAACCCCGAUUGCGUAGGCAGCUGACUAGGCUGGUACUGACACUGAGGCACGAAAGCGUGGGGAGCGAACAGG
rnacentral:rRNA from 1 species